UACGGAGGGUGCAAGCGUUAAUCGGAAUUACUGGGCGUAAAGCGCACGCAUGCGGUUGGAUAAGUUAGAUGUGAAAGCCCCGGGCUCAACCUGGGAAUUGCAUUUAAAACUGUCCAGCUAGAGUCUCGUAGAGGGGGGUAGAAUUCCAGGUGUAGCGGUGAAAUGCGUAGAGAUCUGGAGGAAUACCGGUGGCGAAGGCGGCCCCCUGGACAAAGACUGACGCUCAGGUGCGAAAGCGUGGGGAGCAAACAGGAUUAGAUACCCUGGUAGUCCACGCCGUAAACGAUGUCGAUUUGGAGGCUGUGUCCUUGAGACGUGGCUUCCGGAGCUAACGCGUUAAAUCGACCGCCUGGGGAGUACGGCCGCAAGGUUAAA
rnacentral:rRNA from 1 species